rnacentral:rRNA from 1 species
AUUGAACGCUGGCGGCAGGCCUAACACAUGCAAGUCGAGCGGAGCGGCGGACGGGUGAGUAAUGCCUAGGAAUCUGACUGGUCGUGGGGGAUAAAGUCCGGAAACGGGCGCUAAUACCGCAUACUCUCAGAUGAGCCUAGGUCGGAUUAGCUAGUGGGGGGGGUAAAGGCCUAACAAGGCGACGUUCCGUAACUGGUCUGAGAGGAUGCUCAGUCCCACUGGAACGUCGACACGGUCCAGACUCCUACGGGAGGCAGCAGUGGGGAAUAUUGGACAAUGGGCGCAAGCCUGAUCCAGCCAUGCCGCGUGUGUGAAGAAGGUCUUCGGAUUGUAAAGCACUUUAAGUUGGGAGGCGUUACCAACAGAAUAAGCACCGGCUAACUUCGUGCCAGCAGCCGCGGUAAUUC